rnacentral:rRNA from 1 species
AUCGUGCAAAGGUAGCAUAAUAAUUAGUUUUUUAAUUGGGAACUGGUAUGAAAGGUCGAACGAGAAAAGAGCUGUCUCAAUUUAAAUUAAAUUAGAAUUUUAUUUUUAAGUAAAAAAGCUUAAAUGAUUUUAAAAGACGAGAAGACCCUAUAGAGUUUUAUAUUCAAUUAAUUUUUUUUUAGUUUAAGAAUUUAAUUUUAAAAUUAUUAAAUAAAUAUUUAGUUGGGGUGAUUGAAAAAUUUAAUAAACUUUUUUUAUUAAAAUAUUACAUUGAUAUAUGAUUAAUUGAUCCAUAUUUAUAUGAUUAAAAGAUUAAAUUACCUUAGGGAUAACAGCGUAAUUUUUUUUAAGAGUUCUAAUCGAAAAAAAAGUUU